rnacentral:lncRNA from 10 species
CUCAAAUUUACAUUGAAGAAUGAGUAGGUGAGAACAGUGAACAAGAACAUGCAAGAAAAAGAGUUCUUUUAGUAAGCAAGAAAAAAAUCUUCAAGAAUGGUAGCCCUGUUUGGUUUCUGCUCCUUGUCUACACAACCCCCUGCCCCAGCUCCUGCACAGCCAUGCCCCUGCAGCAGUUCUCCCACGUGGGGCAAAUCAUACUGCCAGGGACCCCCUUCUCCGCCCAAGCUGAUCUUGGCAGGUGAGGAGGCUUCUCCUUGGGAUGUCCUCUGGCUUCCAGCUUCUUGGCUGUUCAAGGUGUGCCCCGCCAUAUACAAAAGUUCAUGGUUGUGGCUUGGGCCUUCCCUGGCCGAAGUGACUGGGACCCUGGGAGUGAAGCCCUGUGUAUGGAACCAGGCUCUCUGAAACCACACUCAUGAGUCCUGAGAAUGCCCCAAGGCCUCUGCCAUGCUGCCUCCUCCCACGCCCCUUCAUCUUCUUUCCCCUUCCUCCCCCACUCCCCUUCUCCUUGUACCAGACAGCACGGCACAGUCCUGAGGAACCUGGGUGCCCUCCUGCAUCAUCUACAUCCAAGGCAAUGUUGGCGAAAGAAAAACUGACCCAAGAACAAUUGCCAGCUAAUAUAUUACUGUGAUUAUUGAAGUCAUUCUGUACUUUCUGGAAAGAAAACAUCACUAACUUGUUAAAUGGGUCUUCUUUCUUGGUCUGACAGGAUUAGUCUUCCAUCAUCUUCCUUCCUACAAAGACAACUGGAACUUUCCAGAGCCAAGACCUUUCCGUCCCCUUUGCCAGUCUUUCUCUGUUCCAUCGAAGCUUCCCUAUCAUGUGUUCACAUUGUCAGGAUUUUACCUGGUGUCUUAUCAGCUGAUUAAUAAAGCAGUGAUUUUCAAACUGAUCUGUAUAAAGAUUUAAUAUGAAUUUCUUGCCUAUAUAUAAAAUGCUUGCAUUAUUUUUAAAACUAUAAUUUUUAAAAGCCAACACAUUCCAAUAACUGCAAACAAAAUGGCAC